GUUUAUGUUUUUUUUAAUUCCAUUAACAUUGAGAAGAACAAAUAAGCAAAUAUUCAUUCUAAUAAAUAUUAAUGUAGCCUAAUGAAGUUUGGGUAAUUAUAAAAGCCCCUUUCAUAUUAUCCUACUAUAGGUCUGAACACAUAAAAGAUGGCACCAAAGAGAGGCAUCUAUGGCAGGUGGAGGAUUUCAAUGAAGACACCCCUCUAUGUGUAAAGAAAAGAAUGGUCCUUGCUUGUCAGCAUGGCAGAGCUCGACAGAAAAAAGAAAAGGAGAAACGUUCAGCAGAGCAUGUAUACACAAAAAAACGUUUUCAUGUCCAAAAUGGGAAGAAGUUGGACUGCCCAGCUAAACUUUUCAUUCGGCAUGUGCUGAGAUAUGACUCAUUCAGUGUGAGAGGGGAUGCCACAAAAUCCCAUAAAGAAGACACUAUGAGAAAUCUUAAGAUAGCACUUCAAAACUCAGAAAACCCACCAACCUCUACAUUCAUUCAUCUAAAAAUUCCUCUAUUGGAAGUUCACAAUCAUACAAUUGGAGCAGGAUCCUGUUUUUCAAGACCGAUCCAUCCAAAACUAAAAAAUCAAAUUCAGGUGAUGGUCGGACAAGGGAUAACUAAUAUAGCUUUCGUGAAGAGAGCCUUGAAGCAGUAUGUGCUAAAUGACUUGUGUGGAGAGGAUCUCCAGCGGCCGCACAACAACGAUGAAGCAUAUUUUCCAUCGAACACAACUAUCCAGAAUCACAUUCACAUGGCAUUAGUGGCUGGUCGUUACUCUGCGCUGGAUCAGGAGAAUCUUGCAAAGAAAGUGGCAGAAUGGAAGGUUGAAGAUGAGGGCAAUCGUUUAUUCUUUAGGAAAUGCACAAAUGGAGGAGAUGAAGAUCUAGAGCAUCAGUUUCUUUUCAUACAUCAGCACCACAAACAAAUACGGCUCCUGCAGCGAUAUGGGGAAAUGGUUCUUUUGGAUGCCACAUACAAAACCUCAAAAUAUUCCAUGCCACUGUUUUUUUUGGUUGUUCGAACCAAUGUUGGCUACAAACCUGUAGCAGAGUUUGUAUGUGAGAGUGAAACUACAAAGUCCAUUGCAGAAGCACUGGACAUCUU